AGGCUAAUGGAACAGUGAUGUAUCGCGGUUCCUGCCUCGUGAAUUUGGAAGCAGGAUUCUGCUCCUAGAAUUAUUUCAAACACACCAGUAAAGCCAGAGGUAAAACAGCCACUGAGCUGGGGUCUUGUUCUGUUGCCCAGGCUGGAGUUCAGUGGCACAGUCAUGGCUCACUGCAGCUUCAACCUCCAAGGCUCAAUUGAUCCCCGCGCCUCAGCCUCCCGAGUAGCUGGGACUACAAAUCCUGAAGUCAACCAGGAACUGGUUGACAAUGAUAUGCAUUGACCUCUACUGAGUUUUUGUGGUCAGGAACCUUCUCUGAGCUGUCAUAAUCGUGCUUCAUCAUCUCCAAGCAAGUGGUCAGAUGAAAGCAUGGUGAAGAUGACUAAAUAGAAGAGGCAGGUGGAUGAGAUCAGUUAACCAGCAUCGCCAGAUUUCUCAGCACUGAACUCACUUCAUGUUCAACAGUGGCCAGUCUUGUUAAAUAAUAUUAUGGGAAUAUCCCUAGA
rnacentral:lncRNA from 10 species